AUUGAACGCUGGCGGCAGGCCUAACACAUGCAAGUCGAGCGAGCGGCGGACGGGUGAGUAAUGUCUGGGGAACUGCCCGAUAGAGGGGGAUAACUACUGGAAACGGUGGCUAAUACCGCAUACUAUCGGAUGAACCCAGAUGGGAUUAGCUAGUAGGUGGGGUAACGGCUCACCUAGGCGACGAUCUCUAGCUGGUCUGAGAGGAUGACCAGCCACACUGGGACGUAGACACGGUCCAGACUCCUACGGGAGGAAGCAGUGGGGAAUAUUGCACAAUGGGCGCAAGCCUGAUGCAGCCAUGCCGCGUGUAUGAAGAAGGCCUUUGGGUUGUAAAGUACUUUCAGCGGGGAGGCGUUACCCGCAGAAGAAGCACCGGCUAACUCCGUGCCAGCAGCCGCGGUAAUUC
rnacentral:rRNA from 1 species